rnacentral:lncRNA from 1 species
GCAUCACUUCUAGAUUACCCCCCCUGCUUAAUCUGAACUUGAUGUUGGACUAACUAAAUUGUUGGGAGAUCAGUGGAGAUAGUAUCCAUUUUCCUCAUGGCUCUUUUUGGUGCCUGGAUCAGACUUUCUCUUGGACCAACAGACUCUUAACACCUCUUCUGGAAUUGAUUCCAACCGAUGAUGAGCUACAUCUGGCCUGUGAAAUGAAAAUAGCAAAACCUUUGAUUGAGUCCAAGUUAAGUGGAUCUACAUCAUCUGCUCAGUCAGCUUUUGCCAAGAUGAAUGAUGCUGUGUCAGUGUUCCAUAAUUUCAGAGGUGGAUUUCCCCUUUUUGAAAACACAGUGUUUUCCUUUGUAUAGGCAAUGAAAGGAAAAAAAAAACUGAAAAAACUGCCGUGUGUGAAAAUGCAUUUUGGCUCCUCGAUAUAUUUGGAAAUGAAACCCUAAAAUAAUCCUAUUUUAGCCUUUUUUUCUUUCUCUUGGAUCUCCGCCAGCCUGGCCCUUAUCAGGUUGCACAAGGGGGCACUGUAGCUGUGAAGGUUCUGGGGAAGUGAUUCAUUUCCUUGCUUCCUAGUAUCAGAAGAGUCUAAAUAGGAGAAGAAUGUGAUGGAAAAGGAGAGAGCCGAUACCUUUCAAAGGCUGUGAGUGUUUCCCAGUUGUUAACUCCCAGCUCAGAUUCAAAAGUAUUUACUCCAAGAAGAACACAAAUGGUGGCAAUGAGCAAAGGGAGAAGGGCAAGAAACUUGUAGUUUAUUUUACAGGUUUGUCCAGUUUCCCCCAUAGAAGAGCAACAAGCACAGAAAGGGCAAUGAACUGAAAAUGGAUAUUUUUGAAACUUGGGAAACCACCCAGCUUUGGGACUAGUGGCCAUGUAGGAGACUACAGUUCAAAUCACAGUGACUAAAGGCCAUUCUGAGCCCAGCAGAUCUCCAUGGGGAGAGAGGGAGGCUGGGAAUUUUGGUGUUAUGAUUGCUGAAGCAUCGCAGUAAGAUCGUUUCAGAUAAUUUAAUAAUAGCAUGUGUUGUAAUGUUGUAAUUAGUGGUAUAACCCCUCUCCCACAGGUCCUGCCAAUCUAUGACACAAAUGAUGUUAUAUUUACAUUACUUUCCAAGUUCUAUCUGCAUGUUGAUCCCAUCAGACUAACUUUAGGUGUCCAUCUCUGUAGAGAUUUUCUAAGUUACUUAGGAGAUAUCGGGGUUCCACAUUAAUUUCCAUCGCCAAAGCAUGAUCUAGGUUUUUACUUCCUGGUUCUGUGUCCUUGUAUAGUUCUUUAAGAGCCUCUAAUGACAUUUUUCUCUUCUUUCUUCUUCAAUUAACUUUAUCCUUAACCAGACAGAAUACAAGAGAUUCUUCAGUUGUCUUGUAAAGACUGAACUGUCACAGUAACAUUUAACUCUAAAUAGCUCCUUCUGUCACUCGCAUUAAUUUAGCUAUGUUCACUGUAUCCAUUUUCUUAACCCCUCUCUGUACUGCAAUAAAUUAUCUAACAACAAAUAAAUAAAAAUAGACCUGAGAAGUCUAAUGAGUUUGAAAGGAAACCAGUUAAUGAGCUGCAGGCUGAGGUUAAUCAGAGCUUGGAAAAUUAAAAAAUUACUUUAAAAUAUAUACAUAUAAUGUAUAUAAACUAUAUGUAUAUAUUAUAACAUAUACAUUAUAUGUAUAUAAACUAUAACAUACUCCUAAAUUUACAUAGGUUAAUCAGAGCUUGGAAAAUUAAAAAAUUACUUUAAAAUAUAUACAUAUAAUGUAUAUAAACUAUAUGUAUAUAUUAUAACAUAUACAUUAUAUGUAUAUAAACUAUAACAUACUCCUAAAUUUACAUACACAUUGUAAAAAUUACUUUUUAAAGUAAUGAUUAAGUUGAAGAAAUGCAGAAUCAUCACUGGGAUCAAUAAAAAGCAGAAUUGCCAAUGUAGAUAAUAGAGCAGGGGAAUCUGGAGGAUAAACUUGAAAUGCUUUCUCAGAACUCAGAGAAAAAGUCCCUCCCCCCCAAAAAAAUAAUGGGACAGUUUUUAAAGAUAUAGCCUGGAGAUUCAAUACACAAACAAGGUUUCUAAAGAAAAAUUAUGAACUAAAUCUCAGUAAUUAUGGCGUAAUACCGAGAGUUUCCUGAACUAAAGGAAGACAAGAAUGUGCACAUUGAAAAUCCCCAUCAUGAAACAGGUAAAUUUGUUUUUGUUUUUGUUUUUGUUUUUUUAGGGCCACACCCGCAGCAUAUGGAGGUUCCCAGGCUAGGCAUUGAAUCGGAGCUACAGCUGCCGGCCUACACCACAGCCACAGCAACACAGGAUCUAAGCUGUGUCUGCGACCUACACCACAGCUCACAGCAAUGCCAGAUCCUUAACCCCCUGAGCAAGCCCAGGGAAACCCUCAACCUCAUGGUUCCUAGUCAGAUUCUUUUCUGCUGCACCAUGACAGGAACUCCUAAACAGAUAAAUUUAAUGAGAAGUGGUAUGUACCAAAAUGUUUCCUACUGAAAUUUUUGGACUGCAGAGAAAGUGAAAAUAUUCUUUAAAGACUCAUGCAGUAAUAAUAGUUUAUCUCUAAAACCAUUAAAUCAGAUUGCCCUCAAACCUCACCUGCAAUAUAUAUGUAGGAAGAAAAUCAAUAGAUAUUUAUAGAGUGUUGAAAGGGAAAAGCUAACUCUAUAAAUUACAUGAACACAAGUAGCAGCAAAGGCUUUAUCAGGCAGACAUGAAUUCAGAAAACAAACACCCCCUUAUAUAAGCUUCUUAAAAAUAUUAUGUGUAGUUACCCUCUAACUUACCCAAAUGUAAAUAAAAAUUAAAUAAUAAAAGUAGGGAGAUGCAAAUAAAAAGACCUCAGAAUUGAAUAUUAAAAAUGUUAAAAUAAUUAACUGUUGUAUAAAUAAUUGUUGUAAAUGUAAUUUAAAACUUCAAAAGUUAAACACAUGCUUAAAAGAUACAGGAGUUCCUGUCAUGGUUCAGCAGAAAUGAAUCUGACUAGUAUACAUGAGGAUACAGGUUCAAUCCCUGGCCUUGCUCAGUGGGUUAAGGAUCCAGCGUUGCUGUGAGCUGUGGUGUAGGUAGCAGAUGUGGCUUGGAUCUGGCUUUGCUGUGGCUAUGAAGUAGGCCGGCAGGUGUAGCUCCGAUUGGACCCCUAGAUGACUUGAAAAAAAAAUGAAUAUUUUCUAGUUUUAAAAAGUCUUAGAAUUAUCUAUCAGAUACUGGAAGUGGAUAGAGAAAUGGUUGAAUGAGUUGAAGGGAAGGGUGUUCUCUUUACACUGACAUUGAUUUUUUUUAAAUAUAAAUGAAUUUUUAAAUAUCAAAAGGUAAUGUAACUUAUUUGAAAACAGGACUUAUUUUGUAUAAAUCACAAGAACAAAGUCAAGAUGAAAGCAAAGAAAAUGUAACCAAAUCAAACCGAAAUGUCUAGAAAAAUUAACUUAGUAAAAGAAACUUGGAGAAGUAACGCAAGGUGAGCACAAUUCCUUCCUUGAAAAAAAUUGAUGUCAAAAACAGUAUGACAAAAGUAAAACUAAAGAUACUUACUAUUAUAAAAAAAUACAAAUAGGCUAGACUCCCUUUUUAAAAUAGAAAGUUUAUAGAUUGAAUAAAGCUAUAUUAGUGUUUAAAAAGACAAACUUUAAAUUUAGACAGUUUAUUUGUGCAUCAAGAUCUUCUCUGUCAAGUGAGAAUUAAGAAGUAAAUCAUGGGAUUAGUUUCUGGAGCAUAGCCAGUGCUCAGUAAAGAUUAUCUAGUAUUUUUAUUAAGGAUUAUUACAAUUAUUAUGUAUCUUUUAUAAGAGAAUCACGUGAAGUGAGAGUAAAACUAUUUAAAUUGUCUACUUAAUAUAUCAGGCAGUGAAACAUACAAACAAGUAAUGGUAUCUGGGAAAACCAAAAUAAAGUGACAAUGAGAUACCACUAAACACCUUUCUGAAGGGCCAAAUUGAGAACACUGACACCACCAAACGCUGAUGAGGAUGUGGAACAACAGGAACUCUCAUGCACUUCUGGUGAGGAUGCAGAAUGGUGCAGCCACUUUGGAACACAGUUUAGCAGUUUCUUACAAAACUCAACAGCUCUUACCAUAUGAUCCAUAAAUGAUGCUCCAUGGUGUUUUCCCAAAAAGGUUGAAAAUUUUGUGUCCACACAAAAACCUGCACAAGGAUGUUUGUAGUAGCUUUAUUCGUAAGUGUCAAAAUUUGGAAGCAAUGAAGAUGUCCUUCAGUAGGUGCAUGGAUAAUUUUCUGUCAGACAACAGAAAAUUAUUCGGCAUUAAAAUGAGCUUUGAAGCUAUGAAAACACAUUGAGGGAAUUCCCAUUGUGGCGCAGUGGAAACUAAUCCGACUAGGAACCAUGAGGUUGAGGGUUCAAUCCCUGGCCUCGCUCAGUGAGUUAAGGAUCUGGCAUUGCUGUGAGCUGUAGUGUAGGUUGCAGAUGCAGCUUGGAUCCUGUGUUGCUGUGGCUGUGGUGUAGGCUGGCAGCUACAGCUCCAAUUAGACCCCUAGCCUGAGAACCUUCAUAUGCCAUGUGUGCGGCCCUAAAAAGCAAAAAAAAAAAAAAAAAAAAAAAAAAAGAGAGAGAGAAAGAAAACACAUUGAGGAACCUUAAAUGCAUAUUUCUAAGUGAAAAAAGCCGGACAUAACAGGCGCCAUGGUUCCAGCUGUGUGACAUUACAGGAAAGGCAAAACUAAGGAAGGAGACAGUUUAAAAAGAUCAAUCGAAGCUGGAGGUAGGGGGAUGAAGAUGCAGAAUACAGGAUAUUUAGUGCAUAAAUUCUGUAUGAUACUGUAAUGGAAGAUAUAUGUCAUCAUACAUCUGUCCAAACCCAUAGACUAUACAACACCAAGAAUGAACCCUAAUGUAAACUGUGUACUUUAGGUGAUUAUGAUGUGAAGGUUCAUCCAUGGUAAAAAAUUAAUUAAUUUAAAAAUGUUCCAUUGAGGGGAACGAUGUUGAGUAUGGGGAAGGCUAUGCAUAUGUGGGGCAGGGGUAUAGAUCAUUUCUGAACCUUCCCUGAAUUCCAUCAUAAACCUAAAACUGUUCUAAAAAUUAAAUCAUAAAAAUAAUUUAAGAGCAAUGGCAGAAGUAUUUUAAUUAAGAGAACUAGAAUGGUCUGGUACAGUGGUUAUCAACGUUACUCUUUGGGGCCCUUGGGGUUUCGCAGGCCCAUUAUGAGACAAUUAUGGACUUGAAAGGCAAAAAGAUAUAGAAGUUAAAGACAGAGCCCAGCAUAUUGUAGGUGAGCAAUACAUGCAAGCAGCAAUAAUCCAACAACAAAACCAAACAAAAGCACAUCAUUGACAUAAGGUUUGAAAAAUUGUCAAAGUUAAUCUUUUUGAGCAUCAAUUUUUUGUGUGUACAAAGUGGGCAGAUACAACCUGGUGUUAUUGUGUCCAUUUUCUCAUACACUGAAUUUAAACUACAGGAUGUAGCACUGACAUCCAGCAACUACUGGUUUCUUCUCUGUCCCCCCCCCAUACCAAAAAUUAAAUGGUUCACUUCAAAGAGUGACCAGAUGAUAUGCUUUGAAUUCUCCUUCCUCAACCUGUCAUCAUAAGCAUCAUUCCUGUAAAUUCAAGAAACAGUAUAUUUUCCUUUUUGCCUAAACUAUAAGAAAAAUGUCUGACAAAACUAAAUUACAAAAGCACAUCAAUGCCAAGCACAAACAGCUGUUAGAUCAUCCACAGUGUGUGAUGGUCUGCACCAUCCUUCGGCUCAGAGGACUGGGAAUUGCCUCUUUUCAUAUUGUUACCGAAUGCAUACAAAUUCCCUUUAGUUUUAAUGUUCUGUGCCAGUUAAGUGUCUGGAUACUCUUUUUUUCCGGAAGAAAAAAUAUACUAAAAAAAAAAAAA